UCCUGGGACUUAAAACAGAGAUUUGUCUCAG
rnacentral:piRNA from 1 species